GACGAACGCUGGCGGCGUGCUUAACACAUGCAAGUCGAACGGUGGAACUCCAACUUGCUGGCGUGGAUGAGUGGCGAACGCGUGAGUAACACGUGUGCAACCUGCCCCUGUCUCUGGAGUAAGCGCUGGAAACGGCGUCUAAUACAGGAUACGAGAAGGGUCCGCAUGGGCACUAUCAGGAAAGUUGUUCGGUUGGGGCUGGGUUAGCGGCCUAUGAGCUUGUUGGUGAGGUAGUGGCGGACGCAGGCGACGAAGGGUAGCCGGCCUGGGCGGGCGAACGGGCACCAGGGGACUGCGACAGGGCCCAGUCGCGUACCGUAGGCAGCGGUGGGAAAUCUUGCACAGUGGGCCCAAGCCUGAUGCGGAGGCCUCGCGUUCGUGAUGACCGCUUUUGGGGUGUAAACCUCUUUCAGCUGAGAAGAAGCGAUAGUGACGGUACCUGCAGAAGAAGCACCGGCUAACUACGUG
rnacentral:rRNA from 1 species